CACACACACACACACACACUGAGUCGUUUGUUAAAAGGACGGCUGUUAUGUUCUCUUCUUUUUUUUUUUUUUCAAUCGAUAAAUCUUCAGCAUAGUCACGAAAACAAGCUGGGACGUAUACGUGUAUAUUAAUUGACAUUCUCAGAGCCAUAAUUACGCCAUGUAUGAAGAUAAAAGAAAUAAAAGUAUGGUUAAAGAAUCGAACUGAAAAAUCUAAGUGAAUCUAAAAAUGAACCUGAAUCACGAGACACGAGACCGAGGAGUCGAAUCCCUGCGAGCCUGUCUUGUCGACCAGUGCGACUCUGCGUCCAGCACCGCGGAGGCAGAGGCUAAGAAGAAAGGCUGAGGCUGUGGUGGCCAUGUUGACUCGUGCUUAAUGCUGUACUCCCACAACUGGUGUCUUUCGAGGCGAGACCACAGACGGGGACAUCGAUGUAGUGGUGCGUGGCAGGAAAGAUUGAAGUGCUAACGUAAUCUGACUUCCUCGAUUGGUGGCUUCCGUAACGAGACCACAGGCGGGGACAUCGAAGUAGUGUGCGCGGUAGGAAAGACUGAAGUGCUAACGUAAUAUGACUCGAUUGGUGGCUUCCGUGACUAGACCACAGGCGGGGACAUCGAAGUAGUGUGCGCGGUAAGAAAGACUAAGGUGCUGGCGUGAUAUAACAAACAGGAGAGCAUUUGUAAACGACUCCACAAAACAAAGGAUGCUACCCCCUAUAACGGCCAUACUUGCAAACAUUUCGGCGUCCAAGGACGCACAUUUAACAAGGCCUUUUCAUGGUAGGUAGUUUUAUGACCCUGGUGAUGGUUUGACAAAGCUUCUGGAACAUGAAAGUGAAGAAAAAUACACUUGAGAACCGGAUAAAUCUCCUUUUCGGGCUUUGAAAAUAGUUGACUUGAGAGGCGGAAGAAGCGUCUGAGGAAAUUGCCGACCAUAAACAACGUCUAUUCUUGAAGGGAAGGAAGUCUUACAGGAAGCAACACAAUAAGCGCGAAAGUUCCAGAAAUUCUUACAAUCUUGACGUGAAAAAGGGAAAAAAAAGAAAAAAGAGAAGAAACGGUCCCAGAGAAUAUAAACUACAGGAAGGAAGGAAGGAAAGAAUGUAAGGAAGGAAGAAAGGGAGAAAGGAAGGAAGAGAAAUAAAGACCGGAAGAAAGGAAGGAGUGGAAAAGAGACAAGUUAGCUUUCCCAUGAGCUACGAAGGACAGGAAAAGAGUAAGUAGGCCUAGGUACUGUUUUGCUUGUUUUUUUUCUAUUUUUUAAUUAUUAUUGUUCUGCUGGUAAUAUAUUUUUCUUUAUUUCAGACGUCAGUAACAUUCUCUCUCUCUCUCUCUCUCUCUCUCUCUCUCUCUCUCUCUCUCUCUCUCUCUCUCUCUCUCUCUCUCACAUAAUUAUAACUUCCUUGCCCUUCCACUUACUUUUUCAACUUACCUAACCUACCUACCUCCUCCUCCUCCUUCUUCGCCUCCUCUAAUUCACACGCGUAGGAGGAGCAAUAAUGAGUUAGCCUCGUGAUUAGAGAGGUAAGAGGGAGAGGAGAGAGGCAGGAGGACUUACGGGGAAGGAUUCGGACUCCCAUCGACCACACGUGAUGAGGGAGACGGGAGGGAGAGGGAGAGAGGUGAGGAGAGGGAGGAGGGAGCGAGCGAGUGAGAGCAGCGAAGUGACUAUGGCAGUUAUUGUAAUUUUCUUGUUAUUCUUCUCCCCUACUCCCCAUUCCUUCACCCCACUCCGAAUAUCAUUACCUUCGCUUGGGGUGAUGGGGGAGUGAUUAGGAAGGGGAAAAGGGGUGGGGAAGGCAGGGGGAAGCUUGCAGGGAGGGGAGACUGAAGGAGCCGUUUUUUGUCUCUCCCUCUCUCCCUCCACCACCCCCUCACACCUAUGUUCUUGUUUUACCUUCCCUCUUGGGGUGAUUGGGGACAUUGGGGUGAGGGGAGGAGAGGAGUAUUUAAGAGUAGAUGAAAAGAGGAAAGAAGGAGAGAAAGGGGGGAGGAAGGGAGGAUUAAGAAGUAAAGAAGAAGAGGAGAGAAGGGGAGGGGAGAAAGACAUGUAAGAGCUGGGGGGAGCGGUGAGGAGGAGAGAAGUGAAGGGGAGGGGGAGAGAGCUAAAGAUAGAGAAGGGAGUAGGGGAGUAGAGGUGAAGGGGUACGGAGAGGUACGUAAGGGAUAGUGGAGACACGAGAGGGAAGGGGUAGGGAGGAGAGUAGAGGAGGUGGGGAGAGGGGGAGAGGAACAUCACGUUUUGUCGAGAAAUUGCCAUGUGCUAGGAUAUGCUCCCCCUCUCUCUCCCUUCCCUCCCCACUCUAUCCUCCCUUCCUGAUACGGUAAUCCCUCCCCUCUCCUCACCUCCCCCUUCUUCCUCUUAUUCUCCCACAUCCUCAUCCACCUGCUGCUGUCUCCUCCUCUUCUUCUAUUUCAUUAUUUUAUUAUACUUCCUCUUUUCUCCUCCCCUUUCUUACAUCUUUUCUUCCCUCCUCCUCCUUUUCCAUCCUCUGUCUAUCAUAUACUAUCAUUUAUCUUCCUUGUAUUCUUCUUCUUGCUUGUCUUAUCUUUUUGUUUUGUUGUUUUAGUGUUCCCUUAUUCCUUUUUUCUUCUCCCUCCUUCAUUUCCUACCUAUUUUCCACUCCUCGUAUUCUUUCUUCGCUGAUAUUCUCUACUGUGUUCCCUUAUUCCCUCCUUUCUUUUCCUUCUUUAUAUCCUACUUUCAUUAUUCUUUAUUUCUUCUUCCUCCUUUUUCUUCUGCUAUUUUUCCUUCAUUAUUUCUGCCGUCACCUCCUCUAUCCCUGUCUCUACCUCCAUCAUUAUUCUCUUCCUCUUUGCUUCUCUACUACUACUACUGCUAUCCUUGCCUCCCUUUUCACCUCUCCUAUCUACCUCCACUUCAAACAUCUUCUUUCGCCGUUUUCCUUAAUUAACUGUCUACUACUAUUACUGCUUCCUGACUAAUCUAACGUCACUCCCUUCCUCUCCCUUGUCGUUUGGUAAUAACUUGGAUUUAUAUGUAUUUAUCCUACCCAUGUCCUUAACUAGCAUUUAUCUUUCUUCUCUGUUCUUUCGUCUCCUUCCUUAUCAACCUCCUCCAUUUUAUCUCAUAUCACUCACACACAGUUACUGGAAAUACAUUAUCUUUCUUCCUAGUGCAAAUUUUUACGUAUUUUUCCUGUUUGUGUUGUUUAUUAUUCCAUCUACUUAUUCCAUUUUCUUCCACUUCCUUUUUCUCCUUUUUUUCAUUUUUCACUGUCUUUAUUAUCACUUAUAGGGCUAUACGUAUUUAUUUUAUUUUCCCAGUAUAAAUAAAUGUUAGUUCUUUUUAUUUAUUCCAUUACUACCGUAUUGUUAUUUUUUAUCAUGGCAUCUACUCUUCUCUUCAUUUCCUUCCUCUUCCAUUAUCUUCCUUUCUUAGCUUAGUAAUCAAAUCUGUGUAUUUUUUUAUCAAGUUACUAUCCUCCUCCUUCUCUUCCUCCAUCUUUUUCUUCCUCCUCCUCCUCUACCACCACUAUCCUCACCACCACCACCACCGGUUCUCGCUUCCCCGCUAACCCUAUCUAUAUCCCUAUCUUUAACCCACCCUCAUCUUCCUUUAUCUUGCCCCGUCUUCCAUCAUCACCACCCCCACCACCCUCGUUAUCACUACCACGUGUCCCUUACCGCCGCCUGACUACUUACACCACCACCACCACCACCAUCACCGUCAACACCACUAUCACUGCAGCUUUGACCUUUCUCUGCCACUUAUCACCUCCACCUUCACCGCCACCACCACCGCCACUAAAAAAAACAUCCAUCCACUUUAAAUUUGUUCUAGACCUAGGUCACGGCGGGGCGCACUCUCUCUCUCUCACACACACACACACACACACACACACACACACUAAGUCAUUCGGGUCGUCGUCGUCAAUAGUGUGUGUGUGUGUGUGUGUGUGUGUGUGUGUGUGUGUGCGGGCAACACCUGCACGUGGGCGGCGUUCAGUCAGGUGUUGGGUGAUCGAUCACGGAGGAGGAGGUGGUGGUGGCGGAGGUGGCUGGGCGGCUGCUCUUCACGUGCCUGAGUGUGACGUCACCAGUCUGGCGCGUCACGUGACCCCCUGACGUUACCGCCGCAUCCCCCGCGUUCGGGAGUGACGUCACGUGUCCGCCAGGUGGCACUAAGAUGGUGGUCGGGUCGGGUCGGGCUGCCGUCACCUAUUAAAGAUUGAGGGGCGGGGCGGGGCAAAGGGGUGGAAAACUUUCUUAUUCCCGUUACUGUAUUAAUUUUUCCUGGGCAUGGGGCAAGGGGGAGGAACAAGACGGGGCGGGGCAAAAGGGUGGAAUGGGUUGGGAUACCAUCGUUUCUAUUCCCCAUUCCGUAUCUUCGCCGGGGUAUGGGGCAAGGGGGUGCAAUGAGGGUGGAAAGGGGCGGGGCAAAGAGGUGGAAAAAAUGAUGUGGGGUACUGUCUUAUUCCCUCUUCUAUAACUUUUCCGGCGCACUGGGCAAGGGGGUGGAAGGGGGUGGGAUACUAUCUUCCUCUCCCCAUCAACCCACUUCCUAUUCUUACUAGACCCUUCAUAACAACAACAACAAAAAAAAGUUAAGUUGGAAAGGAAUGAAAUGCGUGAGAGGGAUGGACAAGGUUGAAUUGGGGAGCCUAAUGUGGGGUGAGGUCUGGGGGUAAUUACAGUAGGGGGGGGGCACGAGGAUAGGAUAGAGCGUUAUAAGGGGGGGAUAGAGUAUACAGAAUGGGAAAUGGCGGUGGGGUGAGUUGGGAUUUGGGUGAAUAGGGUUCAAUAGGGGAAUCUAAUGCAAGGGGUGAGGGGGGGUGGGGGGAGAAGUAAGGGGAGGGGGGGGGCAGGGUCAGCAGUGAAAUAGGAUGCGGUUUGGCAGGGAUGGGCAAGGUGGAAAUCGCGGAACCUGACUGACACCUUCGCUUCAUUUAGUCCUGUGGUUUAUGAUUCCCUAGUCGCCGCGUUGUGUAUGAAUCUAUAGUCUGUGUGUGUUUAUGAAUCUGUGAUCUUGUACGGAGGGGUAGGAUGAGGUAGGGUAGAGUGUGUGUGUGUGUGUGUGGGUGUGGGUGUGGGGGGGGGGGGGUAGUGUUGUGGGGGGAGGGGGGGGGGGAGGUAAAAUGAGGACACCUGGAAAUCUAGAGUACGCUUUCAUGUCGUAGUAAAAUGUUGGCCUUCCUGUCCUUACUCUAUUAUACUCACAGCCUCGUAUUAUCAUCUCAAUCGCCCUACAGUACCUUCCCCAUUCCCUGCAAAACUGCCAUAGUGCUACAACAUGCCCUCGUAAUAUGAAAUAGUACAUCAUAACACAAUACACCAUUAUACUGUUUGAUUCCCAAUUAUAUACUUCCCCACGACCCAUAAAACUAUAUCAUACCUUGUCACUU